AAGGAACCUGCCUUGGAGGAGGGAAUAACACUCCGAAAGGAGUGCUAAUACCGCAUGAUGCAGUUGGGUCGCAUGGCUCUGACUGCCAAAGAUUUAUCGCUCUGAGAUGGCCUCGCGUCUGAUUAGCUAGUAGGCGGGGUAACGGCCCACCUAGGCGACGAUCAGUAGCCGGACUGAGAGGUUGACCGGCCACAUUGGGACUGAGACACGGCCCAG
rnacentral:rRNA from 1 species